CAUUUGUAGUCGAUAUGAUGUCCAUUUAUAGAAAAUAGAUAUCCAUUGAUAGGAAGUAGUCGUCCCGUCAUGGGAACUAAGAGGUCCAUUGAUAGGAAAGAACAGAAGGCAGCAGAAGGCAAGGUUAUCUAUCAACGACAAUGCAGAAACUUCUUCUUCUGCCGCCUGCUGCAUCUGCAGGUGUCUUGGGUACGUCACACGCUGCAGGCAGCCUCCCAGCAUCCGCAACAACAGCUGCAGUGGUGCUUCUGGUGUUGGCUGCCUCUGCACAAGGAGGCUAAGAGGGCUGCCCAUCCGCCAAGGAGAAGCUGGGAUCUCUCUCUCUGGUCCUUCCACAAGUUGCCUGGUUCCACUGCUGUGAUCACUGCCUGCACUCCUUAACCUCAGCCCCGGUUUCUAGUUUGACUUUUCAUUUAGAAACCACAAACAACUACAGCGAGGGACAACAGACCGAGAUGAGGGACAACUACAGUGUGAAGGAUUGCUGCUGCUAGACGUCGCUAUUUGUGGGUGAUUCCUGGGAAUGGCCAGCCUCUGUGGAAACAGCCCAACUUCCAGUAUCUGGUGUCUGCAACCUGUCCCCACCUGCCCACGAGUUGUUCGGAACGGAAGUCUUCUCCAAAGGUUCAGGAAGAUGACACAUCAGCUGAAUGUGACAUUUAAAAAAUAAUCACAAAAACUCUUGAAGACCACUGGAACCAAGUCUUACAAAAAGGCUAUGGAGAUUAGAGGAAACAGACUGAGGCAAAGGUAUCGUAGGUUUUAGUCUGGGUUCAAAUCCCUCCCUCCCUCCUUCUCCAAUGGUGAAAUCAGUUCCCAGAUACUUGGUUGUCAUUGUGUGAUAGUUCAGGCUAACACUCUGUUGAACCCUUCAGUGCUCUUGUUGGUAGGAGGAGGCCUGCAGUGCUCCUCCUCCUCCUCCACUCCACAAUAAACAACUGAACCCGCUCUCAUUGUGGUGCCCAUUUUUUAACCCAAGCUGUACAAUGUGCCUCUGGAGUGCCUGACAAAAGUGGAAAAAGAAAACAAAACCUGUGUGAUCUGUGUCGGGGAAAAACACUCGUCAAUCCAUUGAUCAGAGACUUUCCAAAAUCCCUCAUUGCCGUGGCGAGCGCGAGGGUUGCUGUUGAAUUUACUCUCUAGUUCUGAGGACGGUCGCUCAGGUUCUGUUAGGAAGAAGAAAUGCGGACAGACGCAUGAAAAACCUAGAACUUUCAACCUGCAGUUAGAUUGUGAAAAGCUCAUCAUAAAGCUACCGCUGGAGGUCUGGAGAUCAGUACAGUACCGUCUCUGGUCUCCCCGCCCCAGCGUUCAUCUGAAAUGGCAGGUGGACACUUUUGUGCCGUUCCAGUUAUUUCCUUCCAAGUGCUUAUUAUACAGUUUAAUCUAUUUUAUAUCAUGCUUUGUGUGGUUUAUAUGUUUUACAUAUAUACAUUCCUUGUCGUAUUGGUACGUGACUGGUGUUCCGGCUGAGCGGAAAUAAUGUCGUUAUGAAGUGUUGUAGCAAUGCAAUUCUUUGUCCUUUUGUGACUUAUGACAAUGAGGAUUUUCAUUUAGGACAAGGGAAAUCAGUGGCUUAUCUUGAAUAUACAUACAGGACAUACAUACGCCUGUAUUGAUUGUACAUGAUGUUGGUUAUGUAUGGAUGUGUGAAUGAAUGAGGUGCUUCCUGCAAACAUCGUAAGGUUGCAAUUAUCAAAACUACAGCUUUUGUGAUGGUCCACAGACACCGCCCUACUUACGAACGAGGUAUACUACGUUGAACUGCUCGUUAAGUACAUCAUACUGCAUUUUUCGUCAUGCCUAUUCAAGUACAGUACGACAGAGAGUCAAUACAGUUCUGUAUGUUUCUUUCAUAGUACACUGUACGUACAGCAAGUUAUGUACAGAACAGAAUUUGAACUCCAGGGUCAAAGGGGAGCGCUCUGACAAUAGUCUCCAUUCUAUUCACGUUCGUUUGGAUCUGAAAGUUCGAUCGGAAGUAUCGAAUGUUCGUGAAUAGGGCGUUGUCUGUGUGUGGUAUACAUUUCAUUUUUGCUGUAAGAAAACCACCAGUGCCUUCUGGUGGUUUAUAGAGAACUUGACAUUGUUGAGCUCAAGGUUGGAACAAGAAUUGGUUGCAGGCAUUAAUGCUGGAGUAAAAAAAAAAUAAGACACCACGACAAAGUAAGUCGCGUCUUUAUGAGCCCAGGUGAGGGAACUUUGAUGACAACAAGACUAGGGUGAACUUUCUUAGAGGCAAAUUUAAUGACUGCAGCUGGUUUUUGAAAUCCAACUGUGCAAGCAAGAUAAGAACGCUUGUAACUGACGAAUGUAUAGAGGGAAUGAUUUAUAAGUUGGCUUUGGAUUGUAUUAUUAUUAUAUUAUAUUCAAGAAGCUUCCAAAGAAUGUUGUGGAGGUCAUUGAAAAGACGUAACAGAAAGUUGUUAGAAAACCAGAUAAAUCGACACAUUAAUAAAUAACUAGAUAAAUAUUUAAGUAAAAUAUUAAAACAGACGCUGAAUUGUAUCAGGGUAGUCAUUCAUGCAUUACACCUUCGCCCUUGAACUUCUUCAGUUCCAGCUGCACGACGUCUUCCAGGAGGCUUCUUGCAAUAUCAGUCCUCUAGUUUAAUGUUGUAAAGGCUGGUUUUGAAUCAAUAAAAAAUAAUGAAAAAACAAACUUUUCGUGUUCUUGGCCAUGAUCUUACCUACCUUACUCAUGCAGGACACAUCACAGGGCAUUCCAAGAAAGCGAGAAUGGAAUGCUGCAGUUUUGGCUUUCAGAGGAAGCGACUCGUCACGACACAAAUAUAUUUGUAGCGAGUGGGGCAGUUGUUUUAUAAUCAUUUUCAUAAAGUGACAAUUCUAAAGGAAUCUAAAGGUGCUUCUUGUUCUCUGAUUAGUUAUGAC